rnacentral:rRNA from 1 species
UGAACGCGAAAAGGACCUUACCAAGGCUUGACAUGGGCCGGACAGGCGCAGAGAUGCGCCCUCCCUUCGGGGCCGGUUCACAGGUGGUGCAUGGUUGUCGUCAGCUCGUGUCGUGAGAUGUUGGGUUAAGUCCCGCAACGAGCGCAACCCUCGUUCCAUGUUGCCAGCACUUCGGGUGGGGACUCAUGGGAGACUGCCGGGGUCAACUCGGAGGAAGGUGGGGACGACGUCAAAUCAUCAUGCCCCUUAUGCCUUGGGCUUCACGCAUGCUACAAUGGCCGGUACAAAGGGUUGCGAUGCUGUGAGGUUGAGCCAAUCCCAGAAAGCCGGUCUCAGUUCGGAUUGGGGUCUGCAACUCGACCCCAUGAAGUCGGAGUCGCUAGUAAUCGCAGAUCAGCAACGCUGCGGUGAGUACGUUCCCGGGUCUUGUACACACGCAAA